CUUCCCAUGCUAUGAAUUCCAUAAGCCUUCAAAAAAAACCCGACCCGAUCGUCCCGACCCGCUGUCCCGGCAAAUACCCGAUGGGAAUUUUACGAAAAAACCCUGUUUUUUCGGGUCGGGUACCUGACCCUGGAAAACUGCCUUCUAUCCGGGUCGGAAACUGGGCUUGAUUUUUCCAAAAUUGGGUACCCGAUUACCCGAAUUAAAAAUUAAAAAAAAAAAUUCACCCUCAAAAGUCAAAACUCCUCACUUCCUCAAACAGCCCCCUUUCAUGAAAUUAGGGUUAUCAAUCUCCUCUCUCUCUCUUCCUGCACUGUCUUCUUGCCUUCUUCUUCCUUCACAAAUCUUUCCUUCACGAGUUCAAGUUCAAGCAAGUUUAAGCCUUCAGUCUUAGGAAUUAAAGACUUGGUUUUGGAGCAACCAACGAUUAUUAUUGAUGAGACAACUGAAGUUUCGGAUCUCACAAGUGAAUGAAACACGACCUCCAAGCUUAUUUAAUUUGCAUUGUGGCUUUGUUAUAUUAUUGUACUUUGUAUUUGUAAUUUGUAUGUUUGGAAUUAUGUAACUAAUGACUUCCCCUAAACUUUAGCUUUUAA